UACAGAGGGGGCAAGCGUUGUUCGGAAUUACUGGGCGUAAAGGGCGCGUAGGCGGCCUGUUAAGUCGAACGUGAAAUCCCCGGGCUCAACCCGGGAACUGCGUCCGAAACUGGCAGGCUCGAAUUCGGGAGAGGGAUGCGGAAUUCCAGGUGUAGCGGUGAAAUGCGUAGAUAUCUGGAGGAACAUCGGUGGCGAAGGCGGCAUCCUGGACCGAUAUUGACGCUGAGGCGCGAAAGCCAGGGGAGCAAACAGA
rnacentral:rRNA from 1 species